CCUACGGGUGACAGCAGUCGAGAAUCAUUCACAAUGGGGGAAACCCUGAUGGUGCGACGCCGCGUGGGGGAAUGAAGGUCUUCGGAUUGUAAACCCCUGUCAUGUGGGAGCAAAUUAAAAAGAUAGUACCACAAGAGGAAGAGACGGCUAACUCUGUGCCAGCAGCCGCGGUAAUACAGGGGUCUCAAGCGUUGUUCGGAAUCACUGGGCGUAAAGCGUCCGUAGGCUGUUUCGUGAGUCGUGUGUGAAAGGCGGGGGCUCAACCCGCGGACGGCACAUGAUACUGCGAGACUAGAGUAAUGGAGGGGGAACGGGAAUGCGGGGUGUAGCAGUGAAAUGCAUAGAUAUCGAGAGGAACACUCGGGGCGAAGGCGGGUUCCUGGACAUUAACUGACGCUGAGGCACGAAGGCCAGGGGAGCGAAAGGGAUUAGAUACCCUAGUAGUC
rnacentral:rRNA from 1 species